AUGUUAGCGGCGGACGGGUGAGUAACACGUGGAUAACCUACCUAUAAGACUGGGAUAACUUCGGGAAACCGGAGCUAAUACCGGAUAAUAUUUUGAACCGCAUGGUUCAAAAGUGAAAGACGGUCUUGCUGUCACUUAUAGAUGGAUCCGCGCUGCAUUAGCUAGUUGGUAAGGUAACGGCUUACCAAGGCAACGAUGCAUAGCCGACCUGAGAGGGUGAUCGGCCACACUGGAACUGAGACACGGUCCAGACUCCUACGGGAGGCAGCAGUAGGGAAUCUUCCGCAAUGGGCGAAAGCCUGACGGAGCAACGCCGCGUGAGUGAUGAAGGUCUUCGGAUCGUAAAACUCUGUUAUUAGGGAAGAACAUAUGUGUAAGUAACUGUGCACAUCUUGACGGUACCUAAUCAGAAAGCCACGGCUAACUACGUGCCAGCAGCCGCGGUAAUACGUAGGUGGCAAGCGUUAUCCGGAAUUAUUGGGCGUAAAGCGCGCGUAGGCGGUUUUUUAAGUCUGAUGUGAAAGCCCACGGCUCAACCGUGGAGGGUCAUUGGAAACUGGAAAACUUGAGUGCAGAAGAGGAAAGUGGAAUUCCAUGUGUAGCGGUGAAAUGCGCAGAGAUAUGGAGGAACACCAGUGGCGAAGGCGACUUUCUGGUCUGUAACUGACGCUGAUGUGCGAAAGCGUGGGGAUCAAACAGGAUUAGAUACCCUGGUAGUCCACGCCGUAAACGAUGAGUGCUAAGUGUUAGGGGGUUUCCGCCCCUUAGUGCUGCAGCUAACGCAUUAAGCACUCCGCCUGGGGAGUACGACCGCAAGGUUGAAACUCAAAGGAAUUGACGGGGACCCGCACAAGCGGUGGAGCAUGUGGUUUAAUUCGAAGCAACGCGAAGAACCUUACCAAAUCUUGACAUCCUUUGACAACUCUAGAGAUAGAGCCUUCCCCUUCGGGGGACAAAGUGACAGGUGGUGCAUGGUUGUCGUCAGCUCGUGUCGUGAGAUGUUGGGUUAAGUCCCGCAACGAGCGCAACCCUUAAGCUUAGU
rnacentral:rRNA from 1 species